rnacentral:lncRNA from 1 species
GGGGGUGGGGGUAAUAAAAUGGCUAAAAAUGACCCUUAAUCCUUCGAUUUCCUUACUCUAAGAGACAUCAGUAUUGCUUGAAGUUAGAAACAAUUUUUAUGCAAAAACAAGCUGAGAUUGCUGUUUGGGGUGAGCCAAGGCUCCUUCUUAAAUGCUGUUAUUUGGCCUAUAAUUAUUAACUUUAAAUACAUUGUGACCAUGGAUUUUUUUCUCAAUAUGGCUAUAAAUGACCCGUUUUUCUUCGAUUUCCUUACUUUAAGAAAUAUCAGUAAUGCUGGAUCCUGGAAGCAAUUUUUAUGCAAACAAUUAUUACCUGUAUAUAAAGAUAUUUUUAUUAGAAAUCAAACUGGUAAGUUAAAAAAAAACAUAUAAAGCAACUAAGAUCAUGGAACGCAAGAUAAUUUUUUUCAUCGAGGACCUUGAAUUUCAAUAU